rnacentral:lncRNA from 1 species
CCCAAAAACCCCAAAGAAUUCCCAAAAAUCACCAAAAACUCCCCAGAAAUCACCAAAAAAUCCCAGUUAAAUCCCAGAAAUCUGGGAAAAAUCCCAAAAAAUCGCCGCAAAAAAACGCCCAAAAAUCACGGAAACAUCACCAAAAAAAUCCCCAAAAAAUGCCAAAAAAUCCCCAAAAAUUCCCCACAAAUUCCCCGAAUCCGCAAAUAUCCCCCAAAAUGAAAAAUAUUCCCAAAAAUCCUUCAAAAAAUCGCAAUAAAUCACAAAAAAAUUGCCAAAAAUUUCAAAAAAAUCCCCAAAAAAUCCCAAAAAAUCCCCAAAAAUUAAAAAAAAAUUCCACAAAUCCGCAAAUAUCCCCAGGAAUGAAAAAUACUCCCAAAAAUCCCCAAAAAAAUCGCAAUAAAUCACAAAAAAAUCACAAUAAAUCACAAAAAAAUCGCCAAAAAUCACAAAAAAAUUGCUAAAAAUCACUGAAAAAUUCCCCAAAAAUUCCCCAACCAUUGCGGAAUUUUCCGGCAUUCCCGCAGCUGGAGGGGCCGAGGCUGGGCCGGGCGUGGCGGCGGGAGCUGGGCCCCGCCCACGCCUCCUUCGAGCUGCCGGGGCUCUCCAGCUCGGGGCUGCGGCUUCGCUUCCUGCGGCUGUCGGGGCCGCCGGGGCCGCGCUGGGUGCGCCACCUCAGCCACAGCGACGCCUACGUGCUGCGCCUCUGAGCCCGGGGAAACACGGAGAAACACGGGGAAACACGGGGAAAAUGACAGAGAAAAUGAUAGAGAAAAAUCCCGGGGAAAUUCCGGAAAAUUCCAGAGAAAAAUCCCGGAAAAUUCCAGAGAAAAACCUAGAGAAAUCCCAGAGAAAAACCCAGGAAUUCCAGAGAAAACCACAGGAAUUCCACAGAAAAAUCCCAGAGAAAACCCCAGAGAAAACCACAGAAAAUCCCAGAGAAAACCACAGAAAAUCCCAGAGAAAAUCCCGGGAAUUCCAGAGGAAAAUCCCAGAGAAAACCCCAGAGAAAACCCCAGAGAAAACUCCAGAGAAAAACCACCGAAAAUCCCAG